UUUUUCAAUUCUUCUCUAUUGCGUUUCUUUUGAAAAUAAACAUGCUAUGAUGUAAAUGAUGCAGACAAGACUGGCAGGCUGUACAUCUCGGAACACAGGAUCGAAGCUUCGGCUCGAACUCGGAACCACAAUUCAUCUGAAACCCAAAGUCAUCUGAUAAACUAUCAUCUGAACCCAAUCUGAGGAACCAAGUCACCAACAGGACCACAAGUCACC
rnacentral:lncRNA from 1 species